ACUCCAAGUCCCCUGCUUUUAAUCCCUUUCUAGACUGUUCUGAGCUGUGUUCCCAGCAGAUUCUCUGCCUCCAGAAGUCAUCUGCGCAUCUUCUCUCUGCACUUUGUGUAGGAUGGAAGGUUGAUAUUGCAGUUACAUAAUGGGAAGAAGAAAAAAAGUGACAAAAGACACCAGACCCAUGACUUUCUAUGUUCAAAACACAUCAUCCCCUGAGGCAAGCAUGGGGCUCAUGAUCUCCAGUAGGCCAUGGGAAAGUCAAAAAGGAAGUAGAUUCCAACUCUAUCACAAACAGAUAACUGAAGAAGCUCUAUAACAAUAAAGUGGAAAGAGGGUCUUUUAAGAUUAAAGAG
rnacentral:lncRNA from 1 species